rnacentral:rRNA from 1 species
UACGUAGGAGACGAGCGUUGUCCGGAGUUACUGGGCGUAAAGGGUGCGCAGGUGGCGGCGCGCGUGGGGGGUGGAAUCGCCCGGCUUAACUGGGCGGGGGCCUUCCAGACGGCGUGGCUUGAGCAGCGGAGGGGGACGUGGAAUUCCGGGUGGAGCGGUGAAAUGCGUAGAGAUCCGGAAGAACACCGGUGGCGAAGGCGGCCCGCUGGGCAACUGCUGACACUGAGGCGCGACAGCGUGGGGAGCAAACAGG